rnacentral:rRNA from 1 species
CAGCGCCACGAGUGGUAACCACGUUUAUUGGGCCUAAAGCGUCCGUAGCCGGUUUGAUAAAUCUUUUGUGAAAUUGUACAGCUUAACUGUACAGCGUGCAAGAGACACUGUCAAACUUGAGACCGGGAGGAGUCAGAAGUAUUCCAGAGGGAGCGGUAAAAUGUUAUAAUCUCUGGAGGACUACCUGUGGCGAAGGCGUCUGACCAGAACGGAUCUGACGGUGAGGGACGAAAGCCAGGGGAGCGAACCGGAUUAGAUACCCGAGUAGUC